rnacentral:rRNA from 1 species
UNCCACGUGUAGCAGUGAAAUGCGUAGAGAUGUGGAGGAAUACCGAUGGCGAAGGCAGCCCCCUGGGAUAAUACUGACGUUCAUGCUCGAAAGCGUGGGUAGCUAACAGGAUUAGAUACCCUGGUAGUNCACGCCCUAAACGAUGUCAAUUAGCUGUUGGGCAACAUGAUUGCUUAGUAGCGUAGCUAACGCGUGAAAUUGACCGCCUGGGGAGUACGGUCGCAAGAUUAAAACUCAAAGGAAUUGACGGGGACCCGCACAAGCGGUGGAUGAUGUGGAUUAAUUCGAUGCAACGCGAAGAACCUUACCUGGUCUUGACAUGUACGGAAUCUUCCAGAGACGGAAGAGUGCCUUCGGGAGCCGUAACACAGGUGCUGCAUGGCUGUCGUCAGCUCGUGUCGUGAGAUGUUGGGUUAAGUCCCGCAACGAGCGCAACCCUUGUCAUUAGUUGCCACCAUUCAGUUGGGCACUCUAAUGAGACUGCCGGUGACAAACCGGAGGAAGGUGGGGAUGACGUCAAGUCCUCAUGGCCCUUAUGACCAGGGCUUCACACGUCAUACAAUGGUCGGUACAGAGGGUAGCCAAGCCGCGAGGUGGAGCCAAUCUCAGAAAACCGAUCGUAGUCCGGAUUGCACUCUGCAACUCGAGUGCAUGAAGUCGGAAUCGCUAGUAAUCGCAGGUCAGCAUACUGCGGUGAAUACGUUCCCGGGUCUUGUACACACCGCCCGUCACACCAUGGGAGUGGGGGAUACCAGAAGUAG